rnacentral:sRNA from 1 species
UGUAGUUUCUUCUUCUUCUUAUGAUGCUUUUGU